rnacentral:rRNA from 2 species
UGGGGAAUAUUGGACAAUGGGCGCAAGCCUGAUCCAGCCAUGCCGCGUGAGUGAUGAAGGCCCUAGGGUUGUAAAGCUCUUUCACCGGUGAAGAUAAUGACGGUAACCGGAGAAGAAGCCCCGGCUAACUUCGUGCCAGCAGCCGCGGUAAUACGAAGGGGGCUAGCGUUGUUCGGAUUUACUGGGCGUAAAGCGCACGUAGGCGGACUAUUAAGUCAGGGGUGAAAUCCCGGGGCUCAACCCCGGAACUGCCUUUGAUACUGGUAGUCUUGAGUUCGAGAGAGGUGAGUAGAAUUCCGAGUGUAGAGGUGAAAUUCGUAGAUAUUCGGAGGAACACCAGUGGCGAAGGCGGCUCACUGGCUCGAUACUGACGCUGAGGUGCGAAAGCGUGGGGAGCAAACAGG